GACUGUGUGGUGGACUUUCCAAUGAUUCAGGAUUCGGCCUUUCCCUUCGGAUUUUUCCUCCACCUGCCUACUGCCCCCGCCAGGGGAUACCCGCAGGCUACAGGGGGUCACGGAAGGUCAACCCUGAGCAGAAGGAGAAGUGGCCUCUACCCUGGGGCUUGAGAAGUCUACCCGUGCCUGCACCCACCAGGCUUGCUGGCCUCUUCCUUCUCAUCCAGGAGGCCUCUCCUCCAGCCUCACAGAGGUGGGAAACCUGCUGGAGGCUCUCACCUGUCUUUUGGGGAAGACCCCGAGGCUGGCCCUGUUGGCAGGACCCUUCCUGAGUCCACCGUUUCUCUGGGUCUCACCACUUCUCCAAGCCCCUAGGCUGCCUCCUCUCUAUCGUGUCUGGGACCCCAGGGGCAGCACUUCCAUUCUGCACAAGCUUGCAGAGUCAAAAUGAACUCUAACUCAUGGGAUGGACAAAAUGAAAGAUGUAAGGUUUUCAGGGCUAAAAAGCCUCUUUUUACACAAAAUCAAAUUUUAAAAGAACAUUGACCUCAAAACAGUAAUACUGUACUGGUUAUACAAUAGAAAUAACUCUACAAAUGGAAUCACAUCCUUAAUGAACACCUGUGGCUACCCAACUUUUCAUACAUCUUAUUGUUUACAGGCCUUGCUGUGAAUGCUCUCUUGCUCUAUCUCAAGUAUUUCCACCAAAGAGUUCUUUCCAACUUUAUUUCCUAUAUUAUGAAAAACGAAGUUUUUUACAACAUUCUAUCGAAGUAUAUGAUGGAUAAUGUAUACUAUAUUAAAUAAACCAUAAU